GGGUAUACCCUAAGCCCUGCUCUCUACAGAGAUGGCUGCCUAAAUCCAGACUGCCUCUGAGCAUGCCUAUUGGAUGCAUGUGAGAUAGGCAGGCAAAUGCCUAUCUUCCCCUUGUUUGUGGAUCACUCCAGGCUUAGGAGAGAGAUAGGUAUCAGGACACCUGGAGUGAGGCAGCCUUGGGCAUGCUCAGAGGCAGAAACACAGGUGCCCAGGGAAAUUUAGGCACUGAAUGAGUUUAAGUGACUACAGGAUUAGGCAGGAGUUUUGUGGAUUGCAGUGGAGCCUAAACCCCAGAUUUAGGCACCAAGUCUAGAGUUUAGGCACUAAAGUACAGUACUUUUGUGAAUCCCACCAGUGUCUGGGAGAGGGAAGGUGUAGGGAAAUACCCAGACCACCACUGCUCUAAGGGCCUGGGACUGGAAGCCUUGUAAAGUGGGUGGGGCAAGACUCUCUUCUCUCCCAACCAAGCACACAUAGGUGUCUGGCAUUACUAGACCCACCUGGGAAAGAUUAAGAGAUUGAUGACAUAACUGGGAAGGUGGGUCAAAAGGAAUGUCUAAGCCAAUCAAGAGAAAGAUGCUGCAGGGAACUCGGGGGCCGGGGGAAUGUCAGCCACCACACAGCCCCAGGAAGGACUUCUUAUGGUCAGAAAUGAAGCAUGCCCAUACCAUUAUAAAGAGACUUGCCUUGUUCAAAAGAGAGUACACUGGGAAAAGUGCACAUUUUUCAAAAUUAAAGAGGAGAGUAGAUAGCCCAACAUGGCAAGUCAGAGAAAAGGAAACUUCAAGAUAAGUCAAAGGACAAAUGUAACUAUUGGUGGGUCAGAUUGGCAGAUCCCAAUGGCAUUGCAUGAAUAAUGAAAAUUUCAAAAGUGAUCAGAACCCAACAUCUCCCAAUAAGGUACCUAAGUUACUGCCUAGAUACUAAAGAGAGCUCAGCUCCCCUUUGGAGAACAAUGGGAGCUACCGAUGCCGAGUCCCUUUGAAAAUCCGGUUCAUAGUUUCCCACGAUGUGCUAUACUGCCACGCACCCAUGCAGUUGAUGAUCAACCAGGAACCUGAGCUGAUGAUUCAAGCUUAUGGCAUGUGCCACCACACAAUCUGAGUGUUUCUUACUCAAACAACGCAAACUGAAUUUGUAAGGAUAACAAACAAAGCCACGUAGCUUGUAAACUGUCACAAAGCCUCCAGAAUCUGUGAAAUAUCUGACAGGAAAGAAUAUUUAUGGCAGUUUUGCUUGAUCCACAUUUUUAAAAUGUUUAAGAUCUAAAAGAAACACUCAGACAGAAAGUAUUCCCUUCCAGCUGGUGCAUCUUGAAACCAGUAGCCAUAGUGAACUGUCACACGUGUAACAUUGAACAGCACUAAUCACACUGUAUUUCUGGUGCUGGCAUGUUGUAGUGAGGAUGGAGUACCACAGUGAAGGUGGUGAUAUUUGUGGGUUUUCUCACCCCAUCGCUAAAGGACUUUAGUGAUCCUAUGCAUUAAUCUGUCCCUGAUGAUAGCAAAAAGAUAUCUCCCAAACAGGGUCUACUGCACCUUUACAUUGGUAAAACUGAAAGGAGAAUUUGGCCCACAGUUUGUCAGAUUUUACACAGAAUAUGCGGACAGACUAGAAUAUACCCACAUCCUGAAUCCCUAGUUCAAAUAACCUAAACUUCUGUGUAGCAAUCUGAUUACAUUUAUCCAAGAGAAGGGCACCAUAAACACCCUUCUUGGAUAGAAAGUAUUCUAUUCCCCAUUACAAAUCAAAUGUAAAGGUCAAAUUUUGGCCCUGUAUAACACAGUUGAUCCCAUUGGGUUCACAUGUGUGUAAAUUAGGACAAUAUUUGGCCUCAGUUUACUGGCUUCUUGCUUAGCUGUGAUUUAUAUUUGUCUGUCUAUUUUCCUAUUUGGGCUUUUGCACUAAAUCCAUCACCACAGUAGCUGAAAGUUGCACAAAACAUUAAAAACUAAAAAUAGACCCAUAGGCUUAAUGCUUGGCAUAACUCAAGUAGCUCAUUUUAUUAUCUGAGCAAUGAAAAAUCCCAGUGAGUCAACUUCUAAAUGUUUUCAUUGUACUAACAUGAGCACUGACAAUUAUAGUAUCCAUUUAAAAAAUUAAAACAGAAAAAUGUUUGCUUACAGAUUUUACUCCUCUUCCCAUGUGCUAAAUUUAAUCUAGUUCUGCCAGAGUGGAUUUUUGAUAACCUUGUGAAAACAGGGCUUCUGCCCGGACAAGCAAACAGACCCAUGACGAUGGGGGUGGGAGCAAGUGCAGCUCAAACAGAGUGCACAGAUAGUGCUCUCAGUGAUGAAAAUGCAAUUAAUAAUGAGUAGUGUCUGGAAAACCUCCUAGAUUAUUCAGCUGUCUUUAAUUUACCUUUCAAAGCAAACCAGGGGAAAUGACAGUUGCUUUGCAGUUUUUAAGAAGUGGCUGCUGUGACAUUAACCUAUUAUUUUCAUGAACUCUUCCACUGUUCACAACUGAUAUCAUUUGUAAUAUACACUGACAGAUAUUGCUGCACCGAGAAGCAUUCUCUCAUGUUAAUUCUAUUGGAUGCCAUGGUAUUUUCCUCAUAACCUGUAGUAUAUCAUCUCUUGGGACAAAAAUCCACCCCAUCCCGGGGGGCCAUCAUAAGACCUAUGUGUCACUUAAGCUCUAUUUGAGUACAAUUGUAAAAGUAAAAUAUACUCUCAAUCUCAUCUGCACCACUGCUACAAAGCUCAAAAUGACAAUUGGCAGAGGAGGAAAGCUACCAGCAAAGAAAUAGUUACAAUGAACUGAGUUUCUGCCUUAUGUGUUAUGUCCUCAAUCUAUUCGGUAGUAUGUCAGUAACUGGUAUAUAUUACAUUGCAUUUUCUGAACAGAAGAUGUUAGGGGAAAAUUAGGCCUAAAGCAUUCAAUCCAGAACAGCAGCUAAUAUGGCCCUGAUCUGCAAAUACUCAUGUGAGCACUCCUAUAUAUACAGCUAACACUGGAGGAUUGAGAUACAUCCUUACCUGCUUUAUUUAAUGAUUUGAUCUAAUAUUGUAAACAAAAAUGUAAAAAAACUAUGACUAUUCUUUUGGAUUUUUAAACAAAUUCACAUCCGCUGUGUUCAUGCCCUAUCUGUGUUUGCUUUUCAUGAGUACUCUAGCAAAUGAGUUUACUGGCAGGAAUAUGCUCCAACGCAAUUUCAUUGUCACUGCAUCUGAUGACAGCAAAGUCUCAUUUGCCUUUCCUUAUCUCACUGCUCAAUUGUUAUCCCCUCUCCUGCUUGUUCCUUUGGCUUUUUAUUUUUACUUUCUUCUUCUGAGCCAAUAGUCCUGAAUGUUGCCAAGACAAAAUGAAGAGGAGCUCGGUGCUGUCAUUUCUAAGUGCUACACUGGAUAGCGAACACCCGAUCCACAUUGUUUUGGUAACUAAGCGUUUGGGUUUGUUUUUGGAAUGGUCACUGCAGCUACCAAAGCAGGCUCCCAUCUCUUAUGUGUGUUACUUUUCUUCCAAAUAUACUGUAAACGUAUCCUUCAAACACAUGUUAGUGAUGUGUUUGCAUUUAAAUUCCUUUG